GACGAACGCUGGCGGCGUGCUUAACACAUGCAAGUCGAACGGAAAGGCCCUUCGGGGUACUCGAGUGGCGAACGGGUGAGUAACACGUGGGUGAUCUGCCCUGCACUUUGGGAUAAGCCUGGGAAACUGGGUCUAAUACCGAAUAUGAUCAUCGGCUUCAUGGUCGGUGGUGGAAAGCUUUUGCGGUGUGGGAUGGGCCCGCGGCCUAUCAGCUUGUUGGUGGGGUAAUGGCCUACCAAGGCGACGACGGGUAGCCGGCCUGAGAGGGUGACCGGCCACACUGGGACUGAGAUACGGCCCAGACUCCUACGGGAGGCAGCAGUGGGGAAUAUUGCACAAUGGGCGCAAGCCUGAUGCAACGACGCCGCGUGAGGGAUAACGGCCUUCGGGUUGUAAACCUAUUUCAGCACAGACGAAGCGCGAGUGACGGUAUGUGCAGAAGAAGGACCGGCCAACUACGUG
rnacentral:rRNA from 1 species